GAUUGAAUUUACAGUCGUGCCAAUAGAAGCGUUCCGAAAAAUGUUGACCAGUUCAUUUCCUAACUUGAAGGAACACCUCUGAACAAUUCCUCAACAAUUUGAUAAGUUCCUUAAAAAGUUCCCAACUUCCUGUUUCAUUGACCAAUCAAAUUUUAUAUUUUAUUUUUGAGCAAUCUGAUUGGUCAAUGAAACAGGAAGUUAGGAACUUUUUAAGGAAC